UGCAGUCGAGCGGUAACAUUUCCAGCUUGCUGGAAGAUGACGAGCGGCGGACGGGUGAGUAACGCGUAGGAAUCUACCGAGUAGUGGGGGAUAGCCCAGAGAAAUUUGGAUUAAUACCGCAUACGCCCUACGGGGGAAAGGAGGGGAUCUUCGGACCUUUCGCUAUUUGAUGAGCCUGCGUGAGAUUAGCUAGUUGGUGAGGUAAAGGCUCACCAAGGCGACGAUCUCUAGCUGGUCUGAGAGGAUGAUCAGCCACACUGGGACUGAGACACGGCCCAGACUCCUACGGGAGGCAGCAGUGGGGAAUAUUGCACAAUGGGGGAAACCCUGAUGCAGCCAUGCCGCGUGUGUGAAGAAGGCCUUCGGGUUGUAAAGCACUUUCAGCAGUGAGGAAAGGUUAUGAGUUAAUACCUUAUAGCUGUGACGUUAACUGCAGAAGAAACCCCGGCUAACUCCGUGCCAGCAGCCGCGGUAAUACGGAGGGGGUUAGCGUUGUUCGGAAUUACUGGGCGUAAAGCGCGCGUAGGCGGACUGGAAAGUUGGGGGUGAAAUCCCAGGGCUCAACCCUGGAACUGCCUCCAAAACUAUCAGUCUAGAGUUCGAGAGAGGUGAGUGGAAUUCCGAGUGUA
rnacentral:rRNA from 1 species